GACAGAGGGUGCGAACGUUGCUCGGAAUUACUGGGCGUAAAGCGCGUGUAGGCGGGUGAUCAAGUCAGGUGUGAAAUCCCUGGGCUCAACCCAGGAACUGCACUUGAAACUGGUUGCCUUGAGUGUUGGAGAGGGAAGCGGAAUUCCUGGUGUAGAGGCGAAAUUCGUAGAUAUCAGGAGGAACACCGGUGGCGAAGGCGGCUUCCUGGACAACUACUGACGCUGAGACGCGAAAGCGUGGGGAGCAAACAGG
rnacentral:rRNA from 1 species